rnacentral:lncRNA from 1 species
AGAUACUGCUAACCUCUUUGUUAUUUGAGCAGCUGGAUGAGAUUCCUGAUUUCCAUAAUCUGUACCUGGAGGUUUAUACAGGAGAGGAUCACUGGGGCAGACUUGAACCAUGGUGCCCACAAGUGGGGAGGGUGCUCCAGCGGCCAUGGAAAGAACUUCCUUCUGCAGUUGGAGACAGCCUUCUGUGUGGCGGGUUAUCAUGCUGACUCGACUAACACAAACCCCCAUCUGGAUGCAGUCCAAACGCCAGAUGUGCCCCCGAUUAGUGUCAGUCUGGGGAAUGUUUCCAUGACUGAAAGGCUGAAGGACAGAGUGUGAUUUUCUACUUGGAAGAGACUCCAGGGCUCUGCAGAGAGGGAAGCCCUGCUGACCCAUUUCAGCAGACUGUGACACUUCAGCGACCUGCAAAUUCUACACAUUAGAGUUCAUAUUUUAUACAAACUCCGUACACCUAAGAUGUGGACUUAACAUUUCUACCAACAACAUCCAACUUCCAACAAAAGAUGCAGGCCCAUCAGAAGAUGAAAGCUACUAAUGAAGAUGCAUUAAAGAUGAUAUUUAUGGCCACCCCUUAGGGAAAAAAAGAUUCAUAAAUAAUUUCAUGGAAAUUACACCCAAAAUAGAGUCAUAAUUUCCUCAA